UUAAACUAUUAUAUAAGAGUUAAUUAAUUCAAUAUAAAUAAAAUAAAAAUAAAAAAAAUAAUUUGUAUAAUUAAAGUAAUUUUAAAUGGUGAAAUAUAAAAAAUUAUAAAUUUAUAUAAUUAAAAAUAAUAUAAUUUAAAAGUUUAUAAAAUAGACUAGGAUUAGAUACCCUAUUAUAAUAAAAUAAAAAUUUUAAUAUUAAAGUAUUAAAUGUUAAAUCAUUAAAUUUAUAAGAUUUGGCGGUAUUUUAUACAAAUUAGGGGAACUUGUUUAGUAAUUGAUGAACCACGAUAAGAUUUACUUAAUUUAAUAUUUAUGUAUUGCUGUUUAAAAAUAUAUUUUAAGAAUAUAAAUUAAAAUUUAAAAUUAAUAAAAUAAUUCAAGUCAAAAUAUAGUUUAGUUAAGAUAUAAAAUGAGUUACAAAAAAAUAAAUUUAUAUGAAUUUUUAUAUUUAAUAAUAAAAUGAAGGUGGAUUUAAGAGUAAAUUUAAUAAAUAAAUUAAUUUGAAAUUUUGUUUUAAAAU
rnacentral:rRNA from 1 species